CGUGUAGGUGGGUAAGUAAGUCUACUUUAAAAGUGCGGGGCUCAACCCCGUAGAGGGGUAGAAACUGCUAAUCUUGAGUGCAGGAGAGGAAAGCGGAAUUCCCAGUGUAGCGGUGAAAUGCGUAGAUAUUGGGAGGAACACCAGUGGCGAAGGCGGCUUUCUGGACUGUGUCUGACACUGAGGCGCGAAAGCCAGGGGAGCGAACG
rnacentral:rRNA from 1 species